AGGGCUGCACCUGCAGCAUAUGGAGGCUCGCAGGCUAGGGGGCGAAUCGGAGCUGCAGCUGCCAGCUUAUGCCACAGCCACAGCCAUAGCCACAGCCACACGGGAUCCGAGCCGCGUCUGCAACCUACACUACAGCUCACGGCAACACCGGAUCCUUAACCCACUGAGCGAGGCCAGGGAUGGAACCCUCAACCUCAUGGUUCCUUGUCGGAUGUGUUAACCCCUGAGCCACGAUGGGAACUCCUGGCUAAUAUUUUAACAGGAAUAAAACCAGGUCAAAGGGAAACUAAAGAGUAGCUUUGAAGUGGGAAAUCAGAGAAGAGAGGUCACCCAAGGGUAAGAAUAACAGCUGGACCAGUAAGUAAACCCUUUCUAUGUAACUCGGAGUCAUUUGCAAAGUACUUGAAUGAUCCUUUAACAUGCAAAAUGCUCACCCAGCUUCAAGGCUUGAAGUAACUCCACGAAGCUCUGCUUUCACCUCUGGGCCCUGCCUCAACGAUGCUAUAAUUUAUCUAUCAUGAUCGGAAUCACCAACACUGAGACUGGCCACUGUGUUGUUGGGCACUGCGCCAAGCAGUCUACACACAUCACUCCUCUUAAGCCUCAUAGCAGCUCCAUGAAGUGGCCACUAUGAGGAUCCUCAGAGAAAAGAGGACGUUACUGAGGCUCGGGGGACUGACCUCUCACCCCUAACUCAUGAGACCCACGACCCCAAGUACUGUGUUGUAUUUGGCUUUUAUCCCCAGGACCCACGUGGUGGUGCCUGGGUGGGUGGACACGGAAUUGAUGCGUGUUUGCGAAAAGUACAAAACUAAGAAGAAAAAAAAAAAAAAAACUUCCAUUGAAAUGAACCUUUACAGAGCACCUACAAUGUGCCAGGAAGGCCGGCAAGUGCUAAGUCAAAAGAUGUUUAAGACCAAAUCCAGGGAGUUCCCGAUGUGGCUUAGCAGUAACGAAACUGACUAGUGUCCAUGAGGAUGUGGGUUCGAUCCCUGGCCUCGCUCAGUGGGUUAAACGAUCCUGCAUUCCUGUGAGCUGUGGUGUAGGUUGAAGACUGGGCUUGGGUCCUGCGUCACUGUGGCCGUGGUGUAGGCCGGCAGCUAUAGCUCGGAUUCGACCCCUAUCCUGGGAACUUCCGUAAGCCGCACCCCACCCCCACCCCCCGCCAAAAGACACAUACAACCACAAAGACCAAAUUCACUGAAAUAGAGGCCAUAGAACUGGGUCAUUUUUGUUGUGGGGAAGGAUAAGAAUUCUAUUAUUAUUUUACUGUGAGGGCAGUAACCUGGGAUGGGCAGCGGUGGAGGAGACGUUACUGUCCCCAACCUGCAGGGACAAGAAGAAGGAAGGUUGCCACAGCUUGGAAAGAGGACUUCUUUCAAAGAAGGCUGCCUUGGAUGGGGCCAAGGCUGUCUUUCAUUAAGAGCGUUGGCGGAGACACACUGCAAACCGCCCCCCACCCCUUGUCCCAUAAGGCAGCCAAAGGUGAUGAGGUUCAGCAGGCUCCAUCUCCCUGAGACAGUGGAUCAAGGGGACAGAUGGAAGCUAUCUGGACACACAUGUUGAGUUUAAAGUAUCAGAGAGACAUCCAAGAGGAGAUAUGUAGCAGGAAACCAAGUGCAGGCUGGAGCUCAGAGAGGAAAUCCCUAAGCCCAGGAAUGCAGCCUGUCUGCACCGCUAGGGUCCAACCAAGCCACCCAGAGAUUUAGCGGGGGAGCCAAGGAGAGGUGGGACCCCACACAUCAAGUUCACGAAAAGCUCGAGAGGCCUGGCCAAAGAGGCCCGUGGGGUGUCAGGACAAGCAGAUAGAAGCUGAGGAUGAGGAUGAGGCUGGGAGAGAAGACGCAUGCGCAGAAAUGGGGCGGGGGCGGGGACGCGGACUGCGGUGCAGAAGAUAAUGUGAAACAGCCCGGGAAGCCUUGAUGUCGAGAGGAAGCAAGAAAUCGCUGCAUCAGAAAACAAAUGUGGCUCAACAGUUCCCAGCCCUCAGGGAAGCUGCAUCCACGUAGCCAGGCAGCCUGACUCACCCCCUCUCCUCCCACUCAAGUUUAGUUCCACAAAGCUUCAUGGAGAGAAUCUGGUCUUAGCCAACCCCUAAUUGUGAGUAGCUCGAUGACAUGAUGUUUUUGAAAUCUGGGAAACUUUGGAGAACAUAAUAAGAACCCCGGAGAGAAUGGGAUCACAAGGGGAGACCCUUCCCCUACAAUAUUAGUUUUUCAUAAGCUUUCUGAUGCCUCAGAUUUCACCAUUAAAGAUUCAUUCCUUUGGCUUAAGGCUUUAAUCCUCUAUUAAAUGUAAAUCUCACUGGCAAGCCGGUAGUGUUUGGGGAAUGAGGUCAUACAUUAAGCCUUAUCUAUCACUGACACCUCAAUGAGAGGGAGUUGACAGUCUUUUCAAGAGUCAGGUUUAAUAGGGGAGAAGAGAGAUAAAUGUAAAGGUAUUGGGGAAUUUAGCAGCAGAGAGAGAGACACUCAAGGAGAUAGGAUCGGAAACUAACAUUUAUUGAGGCAUUAUGCUAAUAAGAAAAAGAAAAAUAGUAACCUUUUACUGGCUGCUUAAAUGUGUCAGGUUCCAUGCUGUGCUUUUUACAUAUGGGGGAUAAUUUACUGUGAUAUCUGUUUGUGUUUUGUUCCUAUUGCUGAAGGAUGCUCAAAAGAUCAAGCGGGAGUUUGCCUCAUCUUAAAUACAAGUCACCAAGCCUUAGUGUUCUGGGACUGUGCUCCUUCAUGCCCCGUCACUGAUUAUAUAGUAAAACACACAAAUAAAAGUGGCUUCGACAAUGGGCAAAAGAUCUCAUUUCAAGAAGUCUGGAAGCGGUAGGCUCCGGUGAUUGAUGUCACCCUGGACCCAGCUUGUUCCUUCCUUCAUUUCUUUCAUGAUCAGUGGUUGCCUUGAUCCUUGAGCUUACCGCCUUGAUGGUCACAAGAUGAAAGAUACCAUUUCAAUCAUCCUGACAUGAAGCCAAAGAAGAGAGGGUUUCAUCCUCCGCUUAUCUUCUAUUAACUGAAGUCUUGGUUCCCUCCCAACUCGCUGCUCUAACAUCUUUUAAGAUAUGACCAUCAUGCUCUUGGUUCAAGAUGGUACCAUCUACAUUCCAGACAGCAGCAUGGAGAAAAAAGGAAGAAGAAGAAGAAAGGACAAAUGGCAGGCAUGAGCAUUGAGCUGUCACUUAAAGAAGGCUCCCAGGAGUUCCCCAGUGGCCUAGUGGUUAAGGAUCCAGCAUUGUCGCCGCUGUGGUGCAGGUUCCAUCCCUGCUGGGAACUUCUACAUGCUGUGGGUGUGGGGGGAAAAAAAAAGGCUCUCAGAAGUUUGUACCCACACUUUUGACCUAAAUCCCUUUAACCAGAGCUUAGCUAUAUAGCUACCCCCAGCUGCAAGGCAGGCUGGUACAUAUCAGCCUUAUUCUGGGCACCUGCUUGUACAGCUAAACAUUCCAUUGGCAUGAAAGAAGGAGAAACUUGAUUGUGGAGACAACUAGCAUCUUGGCCAAAGAGCCAAAAACGUGCAUUGAGACAUCCAGAAGGCAACCUUCACCUUAGUUUUGUUUAAGAGGUGGAAUCUCAUUGAUGGGAUGGAAAAAUAGGCUCAUGGCAUGGGGAGGAGUGGCAGUAAGGAGGUAGAUUAAGCAUUGGCUUCUCCCCAGGAGGAGUGGUGUGAAGGUUUGAGGUUUUCACAAGUGAUAGAACUAGUAUUCUGUGUGAACACAGAUUCCCAUGGGGUACCAAGGAAGCUGGACCAGGUUCCUAGGCUUUGACAGCACUGACAAAAAAAAAAAAAAAAAAAAAGGAAAGAAAGAAAAAAAAAAAAGAAAAAACACACACACAAAAAUACUCUGGUCAAACCUCUGGCUAGAAAAUAAAAUACAGUAGUCCAGAGGAGCAGCCACAGGUCCUUGGAGAGGAUGAAUGCUGAGGGACAAAGUGGGAGGCAUGCAGGCAUAUCAUGGAGCAGAAAGAGAACAUCAGUAACUCUGAUGGCCCCCAAGGAUUGAGGUCCAAGCCCCUCCCUUAUUUUUAAGUCACAGCAUAAGUUCCAUAGACUCUAUACCUCCUUGGAGAUUGGCAGGGAAUGCCCAUAAAUGUGCCUAGGAUUAAAUGUCUCAACACUCUAGCUGGGCUUCUGUCUAGAGUAGUCAAGCAUAGAAGGUAUAGUCCAGAGGUGGUCACUAUAAGAAAAUCAGAGCGAUUUUACUGGAGAAGAGGGGAUGGGUGUCGGCAGGCAGUAGCAACAGGUAUUCAUGGCAGGGCACAGCGCAAGUUGACCCCAAAUGUACACACAUACAUGCACGCACGUGCAUGCGAGCACACACAUAAACACACACACACAAACACACACGCUCACAUGUGAGCUGCAAAGAUCAUCAAAUCAGGCUCCAGCCCGUUCUGGAUCCAGUGAGGUAAACUAAUAUGAGAGCCAAAAACCACGCUAUACAACACACUCUCAAAAGUCCCUCUCCUGGCCCUUCCUCAGUAGAGAAAGGGACUCACAGGCAGCAGGAACGUAAACCUGUUGAACAUGCUGCUCACACCUCCCUUAACAUUCAGCAAAAGGCAGACUCUCUAGGAAACAGGGACAGCAGUUCCCUCUCCCAACCCAAGAGCUUUCAGACUGGAGCUUUGGGCAUGUUCCAAAGGAGCGAUCAUGAAGGGAUAAUAGAAAUGGGCCUGAAAGGCGGUGCAUUCAUGCUCAGUUGUGUGGCAGAAAAGGUCCCCUUGCUCUGAACCAUCUGUCACCUUGGAAAUGACAGUAACAAGACCCAAGCUGCCAGAUUGCUUAUAUAACCUGUAUGUUCAGAUAGCAGAAACGGUGACACCUUGCAAAUCAGUCAAGUGGCCUCCCAGACGGCAUGUGACAUAGCCACAUCAUUUUCCCAAAUAAACCGAUUUUACACAGUUACAUCAAAGGACAGGCACUCAGUCUCCUCAGACACUCUCUAACUCAGUGGCCAGGUGCCACUCUGCCCUAAGAUGAAUCUGGGGUGCCUCAAGGAUUUUGUAUCCUCUCUCUGUGGACUCUCCAAAUAGCCAAUCUAGGCUUCUCCCCACAUCCCUAGUGCCUCUGACACCCAGAACCCCAAAGCUAGAUUUUCACACCAAACUAGAAUUUUCAAACUCCAGGUGCUUGGAAGAGAUGGACGACGUUGACCAAACCAACAGGUGUGAAUAACGUCGCUCACUGGGGUAAAAGCACAACGUGCAGCGUGUCUCUGGCAAGUGUUUAGAACCUGCAGUCACCGGUUUUAUUAGACUGGACCAUAAUGACCUCGUUUAAAUUUAAUUACUCUUUAAAGACCCAUAUGGGCUGGUGUUUUGUGUAUGGCCAACCCUGCCAGCCCUCCUUCCAGCGAUGGCUGUGUCACUCACUGGUUCUUUGAUGAGCCCUUUGUCUUGCAUUUAGUGCCCAAAGUCAUGGGAGUUACACGGGAAACUCAGCCUGAUGAUGACCCAUGAAUGUCUGUC
rnacentral:lncRNA from 1 species